AGCGAACGUUAGCGGCGGGCCUAACACAUGCAAGUCGAGCGAGAAAGCGGCUUCGGCCGUGAGUAAAGCGGCGGACGGGUGAGUAACACGUGGAUAACCUGCCCUUCAGCGGGGGAUAACUGUCCGAAAGGAUAGCUAAUACCGCGUACGUCGGCGAGGACCUCGGUUCUUGUCGGGAAAGCAGCCCUCUUCAUGAAAGGUUGCGCGGAAGGAUGGGUCCGCGUCCCACCAGCUAGUUGGUGAGGUAACGGCUCACCAAGGCGAAGACGGGUAGCUGGUCUGAGAGGAUGAUCAGCCACACUGGAACUGAGACACGGUCCAGACUCCUACGGGAGGCAGCAGUGGGGAAUAUUGGGCAAUGGGCGCAAGCCUGACCCAGCCACGCCGCGUGAGUGAUGAAGGCCUUCGGGUCGUAAAGCUCUGUGCGGAGCGACGAAAAUACGCUGGCUAACAUCCAGCGGACUGACGGUAGCUCCUUAGCAAGCACCGGCUAACUCUGUGCCAGCAGCCGCGGUAACAC
rnacentral:rRNA from 1 species